GCCCGGCUAGCUCAGUCAGUAGAGCGUGAGAUUCUCAAUCUCAGGGUUGUGGGUUUGAGCCCCAUGUUGGGCG